rnacentral:rRNA from 1 species
GACGAACGCUGGCGGCGUGCUUAACACAUGCAAGUCGAACGGUAAGGCCUUCGGGUACACGAGUGGCGAACGGGUGAGUAACACGUGGGUGAUCUGCCCCCUACUCUGGGAUAAGCCUGGGAAACUGGGUCUAAUACCGGAUAUGACCUCCUUCUGCAUGGUUGGUGGUGGAAAGUUUUUUCGGUAGGGGAUGAGCCCGCGGCCUAUCAGCUUGUUGGUGGGGUAAUGGCCUACCAAGGCGACGACGGGUAGCCGGCCUGAGAGGGCGACCGGCCACACUGGGACUGAGACACGGCCCAGACUCCUACGGGAGGCAGCAGUGGGGAAUAUUGCACAAUGGGCGAAAGCCUGAUGCAGCGACGCCGCGUGGGGGAUGACGGCCUUCGGGUUGUAAACCCCUUUCAGUCGGGACGAAGCGAGAGUGACGGUACCGAUAGAAGAAGGACCGGCUAACUACGUGCCAGCAGCCGCGGUAAAAC